rnacentral:rRNA from 1 species
UUAAGUCUGAUGUGAAAGCCCACGGCUCAACCGUGGAGGGUCAUUGGAAACUGGGNGACUUGAGUGCAGAAGAGGAUAGUGGAAUUCCAAGUGUAGCGGUGAAAUGCGUAGAGAUUUGGAGGAACACCAGUGGCGAAGGCGACUAUCUGGUCUGUAACUGACNCUGAGGCGCGAAAGCGUGGGGAGCAAACAGGAUUAGAUACCCUGGUAGUCCACGCCGUAAACGAUGAGUGCUAAGUGUUAGGGGGUUUCCGCCCCUUAGUGCUGCAGCUAACGCAUUAAGCACUCCGCCUGGGGAGUACGGUCGCAAGACUGAAAACUCAAAGGAAUUGACGGGGGCCCGCACAAGCGGGGGNANCAUGUGGUUUAAUUCGAAGCAACGCGAAGAACCUUACCAGGUCUUGACAUCC